UAUUUUUUGAACAUUGUCAAAAAUGAUUAUUCGUGACAGAUCAUGGACAAAAUUCUUUGUAACACCGGAAGUUUUCUGCCAAUUAAUUCAAUGCUGACCGUUCCCGCACAAGUCCCUCGUUUUCGCGUUCAAGUAUUAUCAAACACCAAUGGAGAUAAACAAACAGAACCUUCAAAAUCAGUUUUAACCACAUUCGCCGUAACCGUCGGAGUAACUUUGUUUAUUGUGUGCUGUUGUUGUACUGGUAGAACUGCUUAAAAUUAAUAUAGUAAUGGGGUUUAAUGUGAAUAAUUUAUUAAAUAAAAUAUUUUUUUAAGAUU